GAUGGACAGACGAAUGCGUGGGAGAACCGAUGCCGAGUGUUAAGAAGGCCAAAGACUCUGCUGCAGUUCUUCUCUUGGAACUAUUAAAUAAACGGUACUCAUGAUAUCAAUAAUGGAGGCAUCAUUUGCGGAGUUCAAGUAUCUACCUUUCCUUGGAUAAUCCCGCGCAAAAAUUGUGCUGUUCUUGGAACUUUACCUUCUACCGUAUAUUUUCAACAUCAAUAUAGCUGUUUCUUUCGACGCAGUCGAGUAGAAGUGCUCAAACUUGCGAGACCAAUAACACAGUUGGCACUCUGUGUUUUUGGCCUGCCAAUAAUAGUGAGUUGGUGUCAAGUGUGUAUAACGAUUGAUUGCAGUUUAUACUCAUUUGCUUUUGGAACAGCUCCAUCAAGUUCAUUGUCCCUGAAGACUGCUAUAAAUGCUUGAGCAGUGGCUGUUUUUGAAUGGAUUGGUUGCUGAAAUGGCAAUUUAAAAACAUGUCCUCCCACCAUCCAUAAAGAAACCUGAAAGUUCAAUAAUGGAGGCAUCAUUUGCGGAGUUCAAGUAUCUACCUUUCCUUGGAUAAUCCCGCGCAAAAAUUGUGCUGUUCUUGGAACUUUACCUUCUACCGUAUAUUUUCAACAUCAAUAUAGCUGUUUCUUUUCGACGCAGUCGAGUAGAAGUGCUCAAACUUGCGAGACCAAUAACACAGUUGGCACUCUGUGUUUUUGGCCUGCCAAUAAUAGUGAGUUGGUGUCAAGUGUGUAUAACGAUUGAUUGCAGUUUAUACUCAUUUGCUUUUGGAACAGCUCCAUCAAGUUCAUUGUCCCUGAAGACUGCCAUAAAUGCUUGAGCAAUGGCUGUUUUUUGAAUGGAUUGGUUGCUGAAAUGGCAAUUUAAAAACAUGUCCUCCCACCAUCCAUAAAGAAACCUGAAAGUUCAAUAAUGGAGGCAUCAUUUGCGGAGUUCAAGUAUCUACCUUUCCUUGGAUAAUCCCGCGCAAAAAUUGUGCUGUUCUUGGAACUUUACCUUCUACCGUAUAUUUUCAACAUCAAUAUAGCUGUUUCUUUCGACGCAGUCGAGUAGAAGUGCUCAAACUUGCGAGACCAAUAACACAGUUGGCACUCUGUGUUUUUGGCCUGCCAAUAAUAGUGAGUUGGUGUCAAGUGUGUAUAACGAU
rnacentral:lncRNA from 1 species